AACGUAGGGGACAAGCGUUAUCCGGAUUUACUGGGCGUAAAGCGCCCGUAGGCGGCUUAACAAGUUGGAUGUGAAAGCUCCCGGCUUAACUGGGAGAGGUCACUCAAAACUGUUAGGCUAGAGGAUGGAAGAGGAGAGCGGAAUUCCCGGUGUAGUGGUGGAAUGCGUAGAGAUCGGGAGGAACACCAGUGGCGAAAGCGGCUCUCUGGUUCACACCUGACGCUGAGGGGCGAAAGCGUGGGGAGCGAACGGG
rnacentral:rRNA from 1 species